rnacentral:rRNA from 1 species
GCUGACCGCCCUAGAGAUAGGGCUUCCCUUCGGGGCAGCGGUGACAGGUGGUGCAUGGUUGUCGUCAGCUCGUGUCGUGAGAUGUUGGGUUAAGUCCCGCAACGAGCGCAACCCUUAUCUUUAGUUGCCAGCAUUCAGUUGGGCACUCUAGAGAGACUGCCGUCGACAAGACGGAGGAAGGCGGGGAUGACGUCAAAUCAUCAUGCCCCUUAUGACCUGGGCUACACACGUGCUACAAUGGCUGGUACAACGGGACGCAAGCCCGCGAGGGUAAGCCAAUCUCUUAAAACCAGUCUCAGUUCGGAUUGCAGGCUGCAACUCGCCUGCAUGAAGUCGGAAUCGCUAGUAAUCGCGGAUCAGCAUGCCGCGGUGAAUACGUUCCCGGGCCUUGUACACACCGCCCGUCACACCACGAGAGUUUGCAACACCCGAAGUCGGUGAGGUAACCGCAAGGAGCCAGCCGCCGAAGGUGGGGCAGAUGAUUGGGGUGAAGUCGUAACAAGGUAUCCGUACCGGAAGGUGCGGAUGGAUCACCUCCUUU